rnacentral:pre_miRNA from 1 species
UCACGAUACCAAAUCGUUUUCGAUCGUUGGAUUAUCCUGCCGAGCUAGAUCAACGAUCGAAAACGUUUUGGUACUGUGA